UCUGGCGCUGCCUGCCUCUCUCCGCACUCGCUGCUCGCGCCGGGCGCGCUCCGUCGGCUCCCUGCUCUCCGCGCCACCCUCCUUCGGGCCGCGUUCCCUGAGGGAUGGUACUGAAUUUCGCCGUCACAGGAGCCCGGCUGGAGCGCCCGCCCCGCGGCCUCGCCUCCCCGCCGAGCCACCGGUGCCUCGGGACGCGAUGAGGACCUGGGCUUGUCUGCUGCUCCUCGGCUGCGGGUACCUCGCCAAUGCCCUGGCCGAGGAAGCCGAGAUCCCCCGCGAGGUCAUUGAGAGGCUGGCGCACAGUCAGAUCCACAGCAUCCGGGACCUCCAGCGACUCCUGGAGAUAGACUCCGUAGGAGCUGAGGAGCCUUUGGAAACCAGUCUGAGAGCCCACGGGAGCCACGGCGCUAAGCAUGGCCCGGAGAGGCGGCCGGUGCCCAUCCGGAGAAAAAGGAGCAUCGAGGAGGCCAUCCCAGCGGUCUGCAAGACCAGGACUGUCAUUUACGAGAUACCUCGGAGCCAGGUGGACCCCACGUCCGCUAACUUCCUGAUCUGGCCGCCGUGCGUGGAGGUGAAGCGCUGCACCGGCUGCUGCAACACCAGCAGCGUCAAGUGCCAGCCAUCGCGCGUCCACCACCGGAAUGUCAAGGUGGCCAAGGUGGAGUACUUCAGGAAGAAGGCGAAGUUGAAAGAGGUGCAGGUGCGGCUGGAGGAGCACCUGGAGUGUGCGUGCACCAGCGCCAGCCCGAGCCCCGAGCGCCGUGAGGAGGAGGCGGGAAGGCGUAGGGAAUCAGGUAAAAAACGGAAAAGAAAAAGGUUAAAACCCACCUAACGUGGCCAACCAGAUGGAAAAACUGAGGCUCGCCGGGAUCACGGAUGAGAGUUGUUGAAGGCUGGAUAGAUCCUGUCCGAAAUGCUUUAUGUGAGGUGAAGGUCAGCCAGCAGCCCUCUCCCGGGACACGGAUGUACAUGGCGUGUUACAUUCCUGAACCUACUAUGUACGGUGCUUACUGCCAGCGUGGUCUUUGUUCUCCUCCGUGAAAACUGUCUCCAUGCACGCUUUGGAGAACAAAGAGACAGUAUACGUUGUUCAUGUGACAUCAAAGCAAGUAUCGUAGCGCUCGGUGAAACAAUAAGACGCUUCCCUGUCAAAAAAAAAAGAAAGAGAGCAAACAAAACCACGAAACUCGACAAACAAAACUCACACAAGCAUCUGAGCAGUUGCCGGAACGGAGGGGCGCCCCGAGCGGCGGAGGGGCCGGCGUCGCGGCGGACCGGCCUCUGUGCAGGUGGCCACAGGUGCUUCUGUCGAGGGUGCAGAGCCUGCUUUCUGGAGGCUGCGCUCGGAGGCCGCGGGCUCUGCAGGCGCACGCGGGAGCCAAGACUGUCUGGGAAACCGCAUCUCCUUGCCGUAGUGUCUGAGUCUUAUCCAGAAACCUCCCUGAGAGCCUUAAGUGGAUUUUUUUUUUUUACAUCAUAAAGUGAUUAUUAAGCUUUCCUUUUUACUCUUGGCCUAGCUUUUUUUUUUUUUUUCAAUUAUCUCUUUGGAAGACAUUUACACCGAUAACACCAGGCUGCUGUAACAGUCAGGACAGUGGGACGGUACCUUUCCUAGCAAGAUGCAAGUGAACGAGAUGUAUUACAAUAAACAUGGUAUACCCACCUAUGCAUCAUUUCCUAAAUGUUUCUGGCUUUACGUGUUUCUUCCUUGCCUGGUCUCACCCGCCUUUUAAUUUAAGCCAUUUCGAGAGAACUGCGCGAAGCAAUCACAUGCCGUUCCCCAGCCUCCUGCCUGCCGUGGACGGGCCUGAGGACCCGGCUUUCCUGAGCGGCGGCCCGGGGUUGCUCCCUGCUGCUGCCAGUGUUUGGACAGAAACUAAACUCUUAUUUUUGGUAAGAUGUUAUGCUUUACGUGUAUUCAACAGAAAUUCUGUGUGGUGUUGUUUUUGUUUUUUUUUGUAAAGGUGAAGUUUGUAUUUUUGUCUAAUAUUACCAAGUUUUAUAUACCUGAGAGCCUGCCAUGCUUUUUUUUGUUUUGAACCAAAAGAAAAAAAACAAACCCACCAAAAUGCAUUCACGGUGAAAAGCAUUUGUGGCUGCGGCCCAUCAGCGUCACGUGGCCUAUGGCCUGGGUGCUGGAGCUCCAGGUGGUGCCUGGGAGGUCUCGGUGUCCUGGGCCUGCCUCCGGGAUUCUGGAACCUAGAGGACCACGCGCCCUAACCUCACAGAGGCACAGCGGCGCGCCCCACCAGAUGCCAAGCGGACGAGGAAGAUUUGCUCCCUUGGAGUGCAUGGACCCCAGUGUCUGCUGUGCCUGCGAACUGGGUCAGCCCCGUGUUGCCCGCGGCCUGCCGCCCCUGUCCUCCUCGUCUUGGAGCUCGAGUGACCGUUGGGACCCUUCUGUUGCCCUGGGGCUGUCUCUGGCGACAGGAAGCGUCCCGGGACUCACCUGUCCGUGGGGAGUCUUCCACGUUAAGGAGCAUCUUCCACGCGUGGCUGCAGGACGCCUUUGAGCGAGCGUGUGGGGGCGUGGUCGUGGGCUGUGGCCCCCCCCAUGGGGACCGCCCCCGUGCAGUCCCAGGAUGGGUGUCCCGAGGGGUGCGCGAUCCUGUGCUAUGGAUACGUGUCUGAUGUGAUAUGUACAAACGCGAUCUGUGUAUUUGCGUCUGGUGAGAUGCCCAGAACCCUGCUCACUUAAUCU